rnacentral:lncRNA from 1 species
UGUUGGAAGGAAGGUGGGUGAGAUUGUUCUCAUCUGAUAGGGAACAGACUAGUAGUGUGGGAAGGUGGGUGAGAUUGUUCUCAUCUGAUAGGGAACAGACUAGUAGUGUGGGAAGGUGGGUGAGAUUGUUCUCAUCUGAUAGGGAACAGACUAGUAGUGUGGGAAGGUGGGUGAGAUUGUUCUCAUCUGAUAGGGAACAGACUAGUAGUGUUGGAAGGUGGGUGAGAUUGUUCUCAUCUGAUAGGGAACAGACUAGUAGUGUUGGAAGGUGGGUGAGAUUGUUCUCAUCUGAUAGGGAACAGACUAGUAGUGUGGGAAGGUGGGUGAGAUUGUUCUCAUCUGAUAGGGAACAGACUAGUAGUGUGGGAAGGUGGGUGAGAUUGUUCUCAUCUGAUAGGGAACAGACUAGUAGUGUUGGAAGGAAGGUGGGUGAGAUUGUUCUCAUCUGAUAGGGAACAGACUAGUAGUGUUGGAAAGUG